rnacentral:rRNA from 1 species
CAGCACCUCAAGUGGUCAGGAUGAUUAUUGGGCCUAAAGCAUCCGUAGCCGGCGCUGUAAGUUUUCGGUUAAAUCUGUACGCUCAACGUACAGGCUGCCGGGAAUACUGCAGCGCUAGGGAGUGGGAGAGGUAGACGGUACUCGGUAGGAAGGGGUAAAAUCCUUUGAUCUAUUGAUGACCACCUGUGGCGAAGGCGGUCUACCAGAACGCGUCCGACGGUGAGGGAUGAAAGCUGGGGGAGCAAACCGGAUUAGAUACCCGUGUAGUCC